rnacentral:rRNA from 1 species
UAGCGUAUAUUAAAGUUGCUGCAGUUAAAAAGCUCGUAGUUGGAUCUCGGGUAUCGUCUCGGUGGUCCUGUUCACGCAGGCACUGCCUUGAUGACCUAACCAAUGGUUGAACGACUCCGAGUGCCCUUCACUGGGUGCUCGUGGGUGGCCAUUGCGUUUACUGUGAAAAAAUUAGAGUGUUCAAAGCAGGCUUCUAUAGCUCGAAUAGUCGUGCAUGGAAUAAUGGAAAAUGACACUGGUGCAUUUCCGUUGGUCUCUGUGACUGGUGUAAUGAUUAAGAGGGACUGCCGGGGGCAUUGGUAUGGCGGGGUU